AAACUAACAAGGAUUCCCCUAGUAGCGGCGAGCGAAGCUGGAAGAGCUCAAAUUUAUAAUCUGGCACUUUCAGUGUCCGAGUUGUAAUCUCUAGAAGUGUUUUCCGCAUUGGACCGCACACAAGUCUGUUGGAAUACAGCGGCACAGUGGUGAGACCCCCGUAUACGGUGCGGAUGCCCAAUGCUUUGUGAUACACUUUCGAAGAGUCGAGUUGUUUGGGAAUGCAGCUCAAAUUGGGUGGUAAAUUCCAUCUAAAGCUAAAUAUUGGCGAGAGACCGAUAGCGAACAAGUACCGUGAGGGAAAGAUGAAAAGCACUUUGGAAAGAGAGUUAACAGUACGUGAAAUUGUUGGAAGGGAAACGCUUGAAGUCAGACUUGCUAUUCGGGGCUUGCUCCGAGUUGCAGGCCAGCAUCAGUUUUCUGGGGUGGAAAAUCACGGUUAGAAGGUAGCAACUCCGGUUGUGUUAUAGCUUUCCGUUGGAUACAUCCUGGGGGACUGAGGGACGCAGUGUUCUUUUUACC
rnacentral:rRNA from 1 species